rnacentral:rRNA from 1 species
CAGCAGCCGCGGUAAUACAGAGGGUGCGAGCGUUAAUCGGAUUUACUGGGCGUAAAGCGUGCGUAGGCGGCUUUUUAAGUCGGAUGUGAAAUCCCUGAGCUUAACUUAGGAAUUGCAUUCGAUACUGGGAAGAUAGAGUAUGGGAGAGGAUGGUAGAAUUCCAGGUGUAGCGGUGAAAUGCGUAGAGAUCUGGAGGAAUACCGAUGGCGAAGGCAGCCAUCUGGCCUAAUACUGACGCUGAGGUACGAAAGCAUGGGGAGCAAACAGGAUUAGAUACCCGAGUAGUCCCUGUCUCUUAUAA